rnacentral:rRNA from 1 species
GAUGAACGCUGGCGGCGUGCCUAAUACAUGCAAGUCGAGCGAACAGACGAGGAGCUUGCUCCUUUGACGUUAGCGGCGGACGGGUGAUUAACACGUAGGUAACCUACCUAUAAGACUGGGAUAACUUCGGGAAACCGGAGCUAAUACCGGAUAAUAUUUCGAACCGCAUGGUUCGAUAGUGAAAGAUGGCUUUGCUAUCACUUAUAGAUGGACCUGCGCCGUAUUAGCUAGUUGGUAAGGUAACGGCCUACCAAGGCAACGAUACGUAGCCGACCUGAGAGGGUGAUCGGCCACACUGGAACUGAGACACGGUCCAGACUCCUACGGGAGGCAGCAGUAGGGAAUCUUCCGCAAUGGGCGAAAGCCUGACGGAGCAACGCCGCGUGAGUGAUGAAGGUCUUCGGAUCGUAAAACUCUGUUAUUAGGGAAGAACAAACGUGUAAGUAACUGUGCACGUCUUGACGGUACCUAAUCAGAAAGCCACGGCUAACUACGUG